GUGAGGAAUAUUGGUCAAUGGGCGAGAGCCUGAACCAGCCAAGUCGCGUGAAGGAAGAAGGAUCUAUGGUUCGUAAACUUCUUUUGCAGGGGAAUAAAGUGCAGGACGUGUCCUGUUUUGUAUGUACCCUGAGAAUAAGGAUCGGCUAACUCCGUGCCAGCAGCCGCGGUAAUACGGAGGAUCCGAGCGUUAUCCGGAUUUAUUGGGUUUAAAGGGUGCGCAGGCGGGUUGAUAAGUCAGCGGUGAAAGUUUGCAGCUUAACUGUAAAAUUGCCGUUGAAACUGUCGAUCUUGAGUGCAAAUGAGGUAAGCGGAAUGUGUUGUGUAGCGGUGAAAUGCUUAGAUAUAACACAGAACACCGAUUGCGAAGGCAGCUUACUGGGAUGCAACUGACGCUCAUGCACGAAAGCGUGGGGAUCAAACAGGAUUAGAUACCCUGGUAGUCC
rnacentral:rRNA from 1 species